ensembl:lincRNA
UUAUUCCCUUUUUCUUCUGUGACUUUAAUUAUACAUGUGUUAGACUAUUUAAAUAUAUCUUACAGAAUGCAGAUGAUUCUCUCCUUACAAACUAUUUUAUUUUUUUCUACAGUUUAUGUAAUUUCGAUUGGCCUGUCUUCAAGUUCACUUAGUCUUUUGUGUACUAUGUGUGUGCAAUUUGCUGUUAAUCUUAUCCAGUACAUUUUGAAAUGUAAAAUACAGUACAGUAUUUUUUUUUAUUUUUGGUUGUAGAAGUCUAUGUGAUUCUUCUCUCUUUAAAUCCUCUUUACCUACUAUAUUAUUAUUUAAUAUAUUAACAAUAAUUGUUUUAAACUUCUAUCUGCACCUUAGGUAAUGGGGUCAUCUGUAGUUCUGCUUAUUGGCUGUUUGUGUUCCAGACACUGUGAUAAGAAGAUCAAUAGAGGCGUUUCAUCUCUCAGACAAGCUGCAAUAAAGCUGGUACUUCAGAACACAAAAGCUAGAUUCCUGCUGUGACUUCUCAAAAACUGCUUCUCAAAAUACCCAUGCAACAGCUGACACAUAAAAAAUGUACAUGAAUGUCUGGAUGGCUUCCCAGACCUGUCUGGAAGUACACACCCAGUUUUCAGGUGAUGGAGAUGUCUUCAAAAUGUUGGACUUCUAGCAAGAGUUCUCUGCCUAAAACUGUGAGUCAUCCUCCAAGAUCUCCACUUACGAAGUCAUGGGGGUUCCAGUUAAUUAAGUAUGUGUUCUCUGCUUACAUGAGUGUUUCCCUGUGCUUUGCUUAAAACACGAGAACAAAAACAAAGCAUAUUUUUCUUAAUUCCUCAGUCAUUAUAUUUUCUCUUUCUGGAAGAUAGUCUAGAAAAAUUAAAAUCAAAAUCUUAUUAUAUUAACUGUGGAAACAAAUCUAAAACUUAGUAAAUUUUUUUAGUAAGUAACUAUGAACACAGAGGUGUGGAGUGAAAUUUCUGGUUCGUGGAAGAUACAAGUACAUGUUAGAGAAGAACGUUUAUUUCAAAUACAGGAAAAGACAGCAAUAUUACUCCACGAAUUUUGAUGGGUUCUCCCCCAGAAAAUUUGAUUUUCUGAUGUAGUGUGCAAGCUCAGUGUAGUAGACUCUUCAUGACCUACAGGUUUGAUAUCAUCAUAGUUUCUAGAAGACUCAAUUAUAAGAGACUUGAAAGUGUCGAGCCGCUUCACCAUAGCAGUAUAUCUGAGUUCUGUGUACCCGCAUUUUGACUAUCACUUUGACACACAAACCUAAAAGGAAAGUGGUUAUGGUAUGAACAUGUAAUAUAUUGAUUCUUAUUUAGGAAAGAUUUAGACCUGAAAUUAAGACUCACUAACAAUAGUAAAUAGUACUUAGUAAGUAGUAAGUACUCAGUAUUAGUAAAUCCCUUUCCUAGUACUGUUAUCAUCAUUGCAAAGGAAUUUUCUAUCCUCUUUUUUAAUGUUUCUCCUCAUAUUUAUAUGCAUAUAAAAAAGAAACAGUAGGAAAAGAGAGAAGAAUGAGGAAGAAAUUGGGAGAGAGAGAAAUUUAGAAUACUUUUUUCUUAGCUUGUAGGAUUUCAGCCUCCUAUUUGUGGUUAAAAAACUAAAAAGAAUGAAAUGACCAAUAUUGGCCAAACCAGAACAAUUAUUAGGCAUUUCCCAAACAUUACAUUUAAGGAGCAAAUGAUGCAAUAGCAAAAAAAAGAAACACCAAAAAGCAGAAAUAAAAUAAAAUAGGUAUAUGGUUUUACAAAAUAAAAUGGAAUUGGAUUUGAAAGACUGACCUGCUUGUCCACAUCAUUAGCAAGUUGUCCUUAACUAAUUUCACAUUAUUUUGUUGUUUUUGACCUUUGAGUUCACUGAACCAGUCCUGUUUCUUAUUGCCAUGAGACUAAUUUCUGACAUAUUCCUCUUGAUUUAUUACUGACAAACUAUGACUAAAAGUAGGCCUGUGCUACAUUUCCAUCAUCUGGAAAUGAUAAAAACUUGCAAAAUAUAUUUUGAGUAUUCAUAUAUUCAACUGUUACCCACCAGUUGAAUAGUUUCAUCACUCUUGAAACUUCU